GAUGAACGCUGGCGGCGUGCCUAAUACAUGCAAGUCGAGCGAACAGACAAGGAGCUUGCUCCUCUGACGUUAGCGGCGGACGGGUGAGUAACACGUGGAUAACCUACCUAUAAGACUGGAAUAACUUCGGGAAACCGGGGCUAAUGCCGGAUAACAUUUAGAACCGCAUGGUUCUAUAGUGAAAGAUGGUUUUGCUAUCACUUAUAGAUGGACCCGCGCCGCAUUAGCUAGUUGGUAAGGUAACGGCUUACCAAGGCAACGAUACGUAGCCGACCUGAGAGGGUGAUCGGCCACACUGGAACUGAGACACGGUCCAGACUCCUACGGGAGGCAGCAGUAGGGAAUCUUCCGCAAUGGGCGAAAGCCUGACGGAGCAACGCCGCGUGAGUGAUGAAGGUCUUCGGAUCGUAAAACUCUGUUAUUAGGGAAGAACAAAUGUGUAAGUAACUGUGCACGUCUUGACGGUACCUAAUCAGAAAGCCACGGCUAACUACGUG
rnacentral:rRNA from 1 species